UCAGAGUUUUUAAAUGGCUAGCACUUUUGAAACUUUGUGUAAAGUUUCUUUCAAGGAAAAAAAUGAUUACUUGUCCUUUAUUUUUCAGUUACAGAAAAGUUUCAUUGAAGAAAGACAUUUGCUCUUUAGGACAUUCAGCAAGACUCUAUCUGGGAAAUAACUUAGCAUUUUAUAGCUUUAUAUGACAUGUCACCUUCGUCAUAUAUUUAACUCACAAAUAUUUUUCGGAGGGUUAGAAAGUUCUACAAACUAUAACAAAAAACGCAUGACCUUACACUUUUAUACAUAUUUAAAUGAUUUCCACCUGAGGUCUGUAUGUGUUAUGUAGAUUAUGGGAAAAUUUUCUACCUAUCCAACUUUUUAAAGUUCUGUUAUCUGUUGAUUUCUACCUCAUUGAACCUAACUAUGGAAGAGAUUCCUAAGUCUUCACUCUAUGUACAUGACCUCAUUUACUCUGCACUUCAACCCCCUGAGGAAGAUAAAAUCUUGCCUGUCCUACUAGUAAGGAAACCAGGGCUUUGAAGGUCAAAUAACUUGCCCAAGUACACAUGGUCCAUAAACAUGUUGCUCUCUAUCCACAGAGGUUUGUCCAACUUCACUGGGAGGUCUCGAAGGACCCCACUUCGGGCACUGGGUAGAGUGAGCCAGUUAAUCCAGAGUCAGUCUCCAGCCCACCAGGAGCAAGGAAGCAACCUGAUGCACCUAUGCCACACUCAAGGACCAGAAACAUUUCCUAUGUCCUUCAUGCAGUAGUGACCUACAUACGAUGAAAUACAUACUUGGGUGAAAAUUUCUUAAAAAAACUGAUCAUGUCUUUACCCUGUAAUUAUUUUUGCAAAAUCUUUGUUCCAAGCUAUAAUUCUUACAUUUUCUUUUUAAAGAAAGCAACUCUGUGGAAUCAAACUACUACAUGUACAGUAACAUAUUAUUCAAGAAACUGAAAAGGCGCCAUCCCAGUCACAUAAGAGAAAAUAAAAACCUCAAGAGUCACGUCAAUCAGUAGGCUCUGCUGACUGGCAAACUCCGUCUGUGGGUGGACCCAAUUAUCUGCAGGAGAAUUGGAUGUCAGCAUCACUUAGGGUUAACAAUGGACCAACUAGGCAACAGCAGACAGCUACUCUCUGCAGAGACCCGGAAAGCAAACUUGCUUGGAUCCUUAUGAAGAAUUGUAAGAGAAUUUGGUAGAGGAAAAUGUAGGAAUGGGUUUUUUUAUACAACAGUUACAUAAUUAAAUACUUAUUGCCAAUCAUUUAAAAUCGCUUGGAAUGAAAUGAUUUAUUUAAUGAAGUUAAGAGGAAAGAAACGGAGUUCAAAAAAGAAGAAGCAGCAAGAAGGUGAGGAAAAUAGCUCGCCACCAGAGUGAAAACGAACAUCUGAAGCUUGCGAAAAAGCAGCCACAAGGCCAAAGGAAGAAUGUUCCCUGGAGAAAAAUGUGGUCGCUUCAGUUCAGUUUUUCAGUGUUUUCAACUGAGGAUCAGUAGUUAAUUUUUUUCUUCUAUUUACUUUCUUCAGGGGACCAUUUUGUGUAAACACUCCAUGCAACAUUUUUCCUGAGCUCUAGCUCUUCAAUUUAAAGUAAAUGGAAGAUGGCUAAGCACCAUGAUGUUUUUAACCAUCCCUGCCUGCUGUACAGAAGUUAAUGUUCAGAAGUAUCUACUUUUAGCAACUAAAUAUUUCCAUAGUGGUAAAAAAAAAUGUCAGUGAAAUCUAUGCGCUUUAAGAACAUCAAAUUCUUACUAUACUUAUCAUGUGUGCAGGCCGAGUACAUAAUAAACUAGUCUAUAGCAGCUGUAAAUUUCUGAGGAUUUAUCUAACCACAAAUACAUUGAAAUGGGGAAAUGGGGCUAUAUUAAACUAUGCAAGAUGCUGCUGGAGCUUUGCCAUUUCUGCAACAUCCUGUAAUUAAUUUCUCAUGACAGGUCUGGCAAACUGAAACAUCCAAUACACUUGCGACAGACUGUUGGGCUAGAGUUGUUGCAGAUCCCACUGUCCCAUAAAGUGAAGGUAGUUUUUUUCUUCCAAACAUGUUAGAGUGUCCUGUAGCCAAGAGCAGACGUGUCACUUGUUUAAUUUCAAAAUAAAUAUCUGGAAUAUAGAAACGA